rnacentral:lncRNA from 1 species
CUUACCACACUGGAGAUUACUCACUCACAUCACAGUUUAAUAAAAAUCAGGUAUGGUGUGUGGGGAGAAUCCUGUUCCACACAGUCACUCAAGGACUCAGGAUCCUUCCAUCUAACGGCCUUGCCACCUUUGCCACCCUCCAAGGGCUCAGAGUGCCCCCCGCCUCAGGUCCUCUGCAUUUGGUGAGCCAACAAAGGAAGAGGGAGAGCAUAGAGGCUUGGAGGGUGGCCUAUGAGGAGAGAGACUGUCUGCUUCAUCUGAAUCUCACUCCUGCCCAGGAGACAUGAAAUGCAUGCUUGCUAAACUGAGGGGCUCAUCAUGGGGAAACUUGAAGGACACCUAACUCUGCCUGGGAAAGAGACCACCAAGUUUUAGAUGAUCAUGCAACAAAGCUUCCAGCCAGUUCCAGGUGAAGACACCACCCCUGACCAUCAAGAAGCUACCCCGCCUCCACUAGACAGAGCAGGGAGAGAGUUCCGUCAUCCUUAAUAGGUAGAGACUAUGCCGCAAGCCAGCAUGAAGCAGUUACAGAAAAAAGACGAUUGGUCCCUCUGCCUCCCAUGAAGAUUUAUGGGGAUCACAUCUCUUACAGAGGAAAUGAGGCAGGAAAAUAGGGUCUGGAGGCAGGGAAUAUAAGGCAGAUUCACGCUUCAGCUAUGACAGGAAAUAUCCUCUCCAUAGGGCAGAUGCAGAGUAAAUGACUAUGUAACUUUACUUCACCCUCUUCAUUUACACAGGGCAUACACCAGCUAACCAGUGGAAUCCUCUAGAGGGUAUUUAAACUCCCAAAAAUUCUGUAACAGGGCCCCGGUCCCACAUUGUGGAGUGUACUUUCAUUGUCAAUAAAAUUUCUUCAUUCUUUC